CGAGGAUUUUGAGACUAGAAUGCUUGAAUUGUACUAGCAUACUGGCCCCCAAAUCUUCGCU
rnacentral:pre_miRNA from 1 species